ensembl:lncRNA
UUCCUGUAGAAGGGAUGGUUAGGAUAAUAACCAGCAGAGCUUUCCAUAACCUUCGCUGGUUUACGUAUCAAGUUUCAUAGAAUGUCAGAGAGGAUCACCCACUUGUGUGUCAGCUGGUGCCACUCACGGGGUACGUUCUGGUUCGGUUGGUGCCUCUAGCAAGGCUGGGGAGCCCGCUGCCAUGCGGGUCUCUUGUUCUGUACGGCACUCAAACAGGCCUCAGAGAUGGAGAGUCUGCAUGGCUGGGAAAGGGCCUUCGAUCCUCCUUUAUCUUCUGCUUCCAGGCUGGGAAGGGGCCUUCGAUCCUCCUUUAUCUUCUGCUUCCAGGUACAUAGAAUCACCUGGCUUGUUGUGGGGAGAGAGAGGACCCUUUUUUCCAGCGUCUCUUAGCUCAUUUCUGAGAGGAAGAAUUAGUAUUCGGGUCAGAUUCCAGGACACAUAUCUAUCAGAGGGAGCUGAGGACAAUGGGCACAACACCUCAAAGAGAAGCCUCUACCCCAGCCUCGAGAGAGACCUCAGACCCUCAGCUGCAGCUGAAACAGGGCAAGCCACCUCCUGAGGAAGGAAGCCUUUGUAACACCCGUUAAGAAAUGAGGACGACUCUAAGGGGAGCUGGAGGACGGAUCACAGUCAGGGCUGAGCUCUCAGCAGUCUUCACCUGAACUGACCCAGGAUGUCAGAGAAUGGGGGAAGACUCCCGAGGAGGGAAGCUGUGGCUGGUUGGUGGUGUCACUCAUAACCCUGAUUCCCAGGGUCACCAAGGCCAACAAGUUGUCAAUGAAGCAGCAGUCUUUCCCAGGCUGUGCAGAGCCCCCGGCCACGUCUCCUCCUGUCCCCACAGGUGUUGGCCUCUCUGCUGGGCCCCAGAGGGGCCGAUGGGAAAGGAAGAAGAGGAUGACCUUAUUUCUAGAAACUCAUAUCAGUGCAGAAGAAAGUGGAGAGAGCACAUGGACUCCAGCAGAACCAGGGUGAGGUGCAGGGGACUGGAGUGGGCAGCAAGGGGCGUGAAGCUUAUUUUUCUGUUUUGAAAUAAAAAUAGUAUACUUAUGAAAAAUAAUAAACUACAGAAAAGCAUUAAGAUGGAAAAAAUAACUCAAUUGUUUAUUUGUUGGCAUAAAGACCAGUUUCUAAUGAGAUUUUUUCCUUAUUAUUUGUCUUUUCUUCCAAAGUUUCUGGCUGUUUAGCCACAAAGUUAUUACUUUAAAAUUUCUUUAUUAUAAAUCAGACUUUUUUUGAUGAAUUAAUAAAUGUUUAUCGCCUGCUGCCUGCAAGGUACAGAGAUAUCUGCAGUAGACACGUCAUGAAAAGAACAUUAUUCUACCAUGAUUAUGAUUUUCCAUUGUGUUUUUGCUUUAUAUAAUUUUAAAACUAAAUAUUAUCAGAUGCCUAAUUUCUAUCUUAUUUGUAUUUUGUCACUAUAAAUAUCCAAUUUUACUUGAAUUUUAUUUUAUUUACUAUUAAUUUUGCUUCAUCUGUGUUCUUUUUGUUAGCAUUUGCCAACUGUAUCUUUCAAUAUUCCAUUUUUAAAGAGUGUGUCUUUUGUAAAUACCACACAGCCGAAUCUUUUCUUAAACCCAAAUCAGAAAAUCUCUGUCUUUAAUCAGGAAAUUUAACCCCAUCUCAUUUAUUAUGAUGUUGAUAUGUUUAGACUAAUUAUUGCUUUUUUGUUGUCUUCCUGCAUUUUUUAUUGACGUG